rnacentral:rRNA from 1 species
UAGGGGGCAAGCGUUAUCCGGAUUUACUGGGCGUAACGGGAGCGUAGACGGCAAUGCAAGUCUGGAGUGAAAGGCGGGGGCCCACCCCCCGGACUGCUCUGGAAACUGUAUAGCUGGAGUGCAGGAGAGGUAAGUGGAAUUCCUAGUGUAGCGGUGAAAUGCGUAGAUAUUAGGAGGAACACCAGUGGCGAAGGCGGCUUACUGGACUGUAACUGACGUUGAGGCUCGAAAGCGUGGGGAGCAAA